rnacentral:rRNA from 1 species
ACGUAUGGGGUAAGCGUUGUUCGGAAUUAUUGGGCGUAAAGGGCGUCUAGGCGGGGGGAUAAGUCAGAUGUGAAAGCUCUGGGCUCAACCCAUAAAUUGCAUUUAAAACUGGUUCGCUUGAGUUCGGGAGAGGAAAGCGGAAUUCCAGGUGUAGCGGUGAAAUGCGUAGAUAUCUGGAAGAACACCAGUGGCGAAGGCGACUCUCUGGCCUAGAACUGACGCUGAAGCGCGAGAGCGUGGGGAGCGAACAG